GGGUGAGUAGCCAAGUGGUUAAGGCUGUUGACUGCAAAUCUUCGAUCGGUGGUUCGAUUCCACUCUCGCCCU
rnacentral:tRNA from 1 species